UUCCCAGGAGGGACAGAGAUUAAUGCCGAGGAGAGGGGAACCAGCAGCCGUUUUCUGUUUGGGUAGCGGAUGAGCUUUUUGCUCCCUGGGGCUCUGUGCUCCUGCCGGGAGCUGGCAGCACUCCAGCCGGGGACACGGCCUCAGGGCUCCAUCCCAACCCCGCUGGCAUCCAGCCCAUCCUGGGGAUAUAUCCCAGGACACCUCUGCCUUUUUUUUCCUAAAAUUUCUUAAAUUUCCUUCUUUAAUUUCACCCUUUCAAGCCAUGCAGCCUCUGUCGAGGGGCUCCCCAAGCAUCAGCAGGACCCCGCACUGAGCACGGAGCGCAGGAAGAGGAGGAACGUGAGGAAAGCUGCACAGAAGAGGGACAAGGAUUUACAAAGAGAUAUCAGAGAAGCACCUACAAUCAAGCCAAUCUUCUUUGCAGAAAAGCAGAAGACUGAACAUGGAAAAGGAGCCCGAAGCUGCGCGGACACGACUAAUUGCAGCGCUGGGAGAUGGCAACCUCAUUUGAAAGGAAGCAAGUCCCGGGAGGAUUCAGCACGGACUCUUCCAAACAACAGACGCCAUGGACUUAGAAGGCCUAAAAAUAUUUCCCCUGCAUCUGCUCGAGCCGUUUCAUUUCCUCUUCAUUUUCUCUAAUUUUCUUUGUCUUCAGCUUUAACUGGUUCGAUGCAUCCUAAUUACGAGCACAUCUGCCCGCUCCUGUGGCUUUCCGGCUGACCUGUGCUGGCAUCUGGGCUGGUGAAGAGACGGAGGAGGGAUGGACAGCAGGACUCGAUCUCUAAGGACCUGUGGACAUCCCUCUGGUCCCAGAUGCUGUCCAGACAUCCCCGAGGAGAGGUUUCUGCAUGCCAACUCUCCUGUGCUGUACUCCUGUGCUGCAUUGCCCAACUAUUUUCCCACAAGUACAGUCGGUUUCCCAGGAGCAGGUGUGGUCAGGAUUGCACUGUCCCAGCUGGUCCUUGCGUCCUGUGAAUAGGACUGGGGCUUGCAUUUUCGAGUUAGCCAUUGCUUAGGAAAAUCCUGCAUGAAUCCAGCACUCAGAAGUCGUUUAUUCUGCUGCUAAAUUAUGACAGUGUUUUUCAUCCUGAUCUUAAAGAAAAUCCAUCCUCACAUUUGAGGGCUAAAAGCAAAUCCCUGGCAAGAUUAGGUUAGCCUAGAAAAACUCAGCCCACAAGCAAUUACCCAGCACUUCCGAGGUGUUUUGUCUCCGGCAUAAGGAAAUCAAAAUCCCCAACCAACGAUUCGUGGGAAGAAGUGGCUCCGAUACGAGAACAAGAUGCGUGUUGUGUCCUUUCUUUAAUCAAGUUAAUGGUCAUCAUUUUACAUGCUAAUGUCUCCUCCGUGGUCCAUCAGUCGUGCAGCUGCAGCCGCCUGCAAUCCGCCGUGUUUUACCUAAGAGACCCAAUUACUGCUCGGCUCGGCGCGGGCUGACGCGCAGCAUUGCAGAGCAGCCCCUGCCCGCCCCGCGGCCGCACCAGAGCUUCCUCUGGCCUCGCCUGGGCCAGGAGAAACACCCCGAGGGCUUGGGUAGAAAAACAAGGAGGAGAACAGCAGAACAGCUCGUGUUCUGCUUCCCUGGGUUACCCAGGAAGGCUUGGGAACGGCAGGAGGUUGUGGGGCACUGGGGUGCCCUGACCGAGGGGCCAAGCUCACUCUCCGAGGGGUUUUCCCAAAAGCCAGAGGCCGUGCCACUGGUGGCCUGGCCUCGAGCCCCCUGGACCUCUGCCAUUCUCAUUGCCAUCUAGUGGCAUGCACUCA